rnacentral:sRNA from 1 species
GCUGGGUGUGGUGGUGCACACCUGUAAUCCUGGUGAUUUGGGAAGCUGAGGCAGGAGGAUCACAAGUUGGAGGCCAGCCUCAG